GGAUGUGAGUGCAAUCCGGCUGCAACAUCUGUCACCCCACUGAUUACCAGGGUUGAUUCGGCUGAUCUGGCUGGCUAGGUGGGUUUCCCCUUCCUCCCUCAACACUCCAAGUGUGUCCCUCCUGAAGGUGUGCACUUAGUCAAAGAGGAGGACCACCCCCAUGGAGUAGGACUGUUCCUCUGUCAGGGUAUAGGAGUAGCUGUGCUCUCCUGCUAGAACCUCCAAACAAGCUCUCAAGAAAAAGCACGUUGUUCCAAACACAUAGAUUUUUCAAACAUUUAUCCUAAAACAUCUUUUUUGAU
rnacentral:snRNA from 1 species